rnacentral:rRNA from 1 species
UGCAAGUCGAGCGGCAGCGCGGGGCAACCUGGCGGCGAGCGGCGAACGGGUGAGUAAUGCAUCGGAACAUGUCCAUUUGUGGGGGAUAGCCCGGCGAAAGCCGGAUUAAUACCGCAUACGCCCGAGAGGGGAAAGCCGGGGACCGCAAGGCCUGGCGCGAAUGGGUUGCCGAUGUCCGAUUAGCUAGUUGGCGGGGUAAGAGCUCACCAAGGCUCCGAUCGGUAUCCGGCCUGAGAGGGCGGACGGACACACUGGGACUGAGACACGGCCCUGACUCCUACGGGAGGCAGCAGUGGGGAAUUGUUCGCAAUGGGCGAAAGCCUGACGACGCAACGCCGCAUGGAGGAUGAAGACCUUCGGGUCGUAAACUCCUUUCGACCGAGAUGAAUAUCCAUCGACCUAACACGUCGAUGGAGUGACAGUAUCGAGGGAAGAAGCCCCGGCUAACUCUGUGCCAGCAGCCGCGGUAAUACAGGGGGGGCAAGCGUUGUUCGGAAUUACUGGGCGUAAAGGGUUCGUAGGUGGCUCGCUAAGUCAAACGUGAAAUCCCUCAGCUUAACUGGGGAACUGCGUCUGAUACUGGAGAGCUUGAGUGCAGGAGAGGAACGCGGAAUUCCAGGUGUAGCGGUGAAAUGCGUAGAUAUCUGGAGGAACACCGGUGGCGAAGGCGGC